rnacentral:lncRNA from 1 species
AGGAGACUGGAGCGGAGGGAGAGCUGGGAGUGUUAACUGUGGGUAACGUGCCCUGGGGAACUGCAGCCAACACCAGAUUCUUCCUCUACCUCCUGGGAAGAGCCGCAGCACGGCCACCAACCACCCUGCCCAUUUUCCACAACGACUCAGGAAUGGCAACCAAAAGACCAACGUUACCGACCCGGCGGAACCCCAGGCACCACCAGCCAGCCCAGGCAGAAAGCCUGGCAAACGUCGGGAGGCAGCAGCCCAGGGCAAGCCCAGGAGGGAGCAGGAAUCGCUGGGAUCCGUCUCCAUCGCAGUCUAUCGACACAGAAGGAGAAGGAAGGCAGCAGUUUGCACACUAGUGAUCAGUCCUUCGGUACAGUUCAAUACGUACAUACAAGAUGAUACAGUAUGCACAUAUUUAAGUUAAAAUAAUCAUUAGGUUUUUUUUCAGUGGAGCAAUGAGCAGGUUGAACGCUCAGAGAUGCCAGGCUGACGGGGCAGGGUGAGCCACAAACUCUGCGGAGAAAAGCUCUAGGACAUUCUCAUCACCACUGGGAGCCAGAAAGCAGAGUCUUUACCUACAAAAAUCAUUUCUAUAAACCGCUGUAAUCGCUAUAGUUAGCUUUAGGUAUUAUCUUCUCUAUAUACGUAUAUUUUGUAGCCAUCUCAAAGUUCUUCAACUAUGUUUAAUUGAUUACUUUACCCAGAGUUUUAAACUAAAAAUGUAAAUACCAUACGUUUUUCUUGAGAAAAAGAAAGAAAACAUAUGUAUUCUCUUCUACGUAUGUAAACCUGAAAUCUCAGAGGUGCACCUUUAUUGCUUCACAAUUCCCUUUAUAAUAUAUAAACCCAAGAAAGCAUAACCAUCCACUCAGAGAAAGAGAAGAAAAUGGCUGGAUUAUUGCAGGAAAGCAAAGAAUGGGCUCUGGUUUCCUCUGCUGUGGUCCAUGCUGUGAUGGUGGUGCUUCCCCCCAGCUGGGAGCUGUGACGUAAAUUGAUUUCGUGAUUUCUUUAUUUGCCUCUAAAGUAACGGGAGCACUGCUCCAGAUUCCACCACAAACAAUUUCCUAACAGCUUUAGGAAACUUUCAUUACUGCUGGAAGCCAGAAAGCAGAGUCUUUACCUACAAAACCUGUUUGUGUAAACCACCGUAAACCACACCAGGACUUGCCACGGGAUGGGACGUCACGAGUUUGCUGAGUCUCUGCUAUCACCACCAGAGCCGCCCCUCCACGCCUCUGACUUUAUAACUCUAUAAGAGACCCCAAAAGAGGGUCAUUUUGCAUCGAGAGCUGCUGUGGAAGCUCAGGUCAACUAUAAACACACCAAAACAUUAUGAGAGCGUUUCUGGCGGUGAUG